UGGGGGAAACCCUGAUCCAGCAAUGCCGCGUGAGUGAAGAAGGCCUUAGGGUUGUAAAGCUCUUUCGCCCGCGAAGAUAAUGACGGUAGCGGGAGAAGAAGCCCCGGCUAACUCCGUGCCAGCAGCCGCGGUAAUACGGAGGGGGCUAGCGUUGUUCGGAAUUACUGGGCGUAUAGCGUACGUAGGCGGAUGCGCAAGUUGGGGGUGAAAUCCCGGGGCUUAACCUCGGAAUUGCCCUCAAAACUGCACGUCUUGAGACCGAGAGAGGUAAGGGGAAUUCCUAGUGUAGAGGUGAAAUCCGUAGAUAUUAGGAAGAACACCAGUGGCGAAGGCGCCUUACUGGCUUGGUACUGACGCUGAGGUACGAAAGCGUGGGGAUCAAA
rnacentral:rRNA from 1 species